rnacentral:rRNA from 1 species
CGUAGGGUGCGAGCGUUAAUCGGAAUUACUGGGCGUAAAGCGUGCGCAGGCGGAUUGUUAAGCAAGAUGUGAAAUCCCCGGGCUUAACCUGGGAAUGGCAUUUUGAACUGGCAAUCUAGAGUGUGUCAGAGGGGGUAGAAUUCCACGUGUAGCAGUGAAAUGCGUAGAGAUGUGGAGGAAUACCGAUGGCGAAGGCAGCCCCCUGGGAUAACACUGACGCUCAUGUACGAAAGCGUGGGUAGCAAACAGGAUUAGAUACCCUGGUAGUCCACGCCCUAAACGAUGUCAACUGGUUGUUGGGAGAGUGAAAUCUCUUAGUAACGAAGCUAACGCGUGAAGUUGACCGCCUGGGGAGUACGGUCGCAAGAUUA